rnacentral:RNase_P_RNA from 1 species
GGAGUCGGCCGGACAGUCGCUGUGCCUUAGGGCAUGGAGGAAAGUCCGGGCUCCAUAGGGCAGGGUGCCAGGUAACGCCUGGGGGGCGCGAGCCUACGGAAAGUGCCACAGAGAACAUACCGCCGAUGGCCCGGUUCGCCGGUGCACAGGUAAGGGUGAAAAGGUGCGGUAAGAGCGCACCGCGCGGGUGGUAACAUGCCGCGGCACGGUAAACCCCACCCGGAGCAAGACCAAAUAGGGGAGCAAUGGUGUGGCCCGCACUGCUCCCGGGUAGGUCGCUUGAGGCGAGUGGUGACGCUCGUCCCAGAGGAAUGACUGUCCUCGACAGAACCCGGCUUACAGGCCGGCUCCCACC